rnacentral:rRNA from 1 species
CCUACGGGUGGCAGCAGUAGGGAAUCUUCCACAAUGGGCGAAAGCCUGAUGGAGCAACGCCGCGUGGGUGAAGAAGGUCUUCGGAUCGUAAAACUCUGUUGUUAGAGAAGAAAGUGCGUGAGAGUAACUGUUCACGUUUCGACGGUAUCUAACCAGAAAGCCACGGCUAACUACGUGCCAGCAGCCGCGGUAAUACGUAGGUGGCAAGCGUUAUCCGGAUUUAUUGGGCGUAAAGGGAACGCAGGCGGUCUUGUAAGUCUGAUGUGAAAGCCUUCGGCUUAACCGGAGUAGUGCAUUGGAAACUGGGAGACUUGAGUGCAGAAGAGGUGAGUGGAACGCCAUGUGUAGCGGUGAAAUGCGUAGAGAUAUGGAAGAACACCAGUGGCGAAAGCAGCUCUCUGGUCUGUAACUGACGCUGAGGUUCGAAAGCGUGGGUAGCAAACAGGAUUAGAUACCCCGGUAGUC